rnacentral:misc_RNA from 1 species
AACGCAUCUUGCGGUCGUUGGUAUUCCAACGACCACGCCUGUUUCAGUAUCAAAAACACCCCACAUCUUAAAAAUCUUUUUUUUUUAACGAUGGUCUUGGGAGAUUAACCGCCCCUUCAUACGGGCAGUUCUCCUUAAUAAUAUUUGGCUAAGAUUGUUCUUUCUGUCUGCCUAGAAACUUUUUUUUUAAUUUUUAAAAGAUUGGUUUUCUUUAGCAACUUACACAGUUAAGAAAUGUGGAGGCCACUCAAAUAAUUCUCAAAUUUUGAUCUGAAAUCAGGCGGGAUUACCCGCUGAACUUAA